AUACGUAGGGUGCAAGCGUUAAUCGGAAUUACUGGGCGUAAAGCGUGCGCAGGCGGUUUUGUAAGACAGAGGUGAAAUCCCCGGGCUCAACCUGGGAACUGCCUUUGUGACUGCAAGGCUAGAGUACGGCAGAGGGGGAUGGAAUUCCGCGUGUAGCCGUGAAAUGCGUAGAUAUGCGGAGGAACACCGGUGGCGAAGGCAAUCCCCUGGGCCUUCACUAACGCUAAGUCCCGAAUGCGGGGGCAGCAAACAGGAUUAGAUCCCCGGGUAGUCCACGCCCUAAGCGAGGUCAACUGGUUGUUGGGUCUUCAUUGACUCAGUAACGUAGCUAACGCGUGAAGUUGACCGCCUGGGGAGUACGGCCGCAAGGUUGAAACUCAAAGGAAUUGACGGGG
rnacentral:rRNA from 1 species